rnacentral:lncRNA from 1 species
AGCAAUGUGUUCCCUACACACAGCUCAGUGCAGUACACUGGGAUGGUUACUAUUAUCGACACUAUUAGGACAUACAGGAGAGCAUGAUGCAAUAGAAGGAACACCAAGCUGAGAUAAAGGUGACAUGGGGAACUGUUGUAGGCAGCUUGAAGGUAUAACUAUAUGCGAAAGCCCCACUGGUUCUGGAGUUGGCCUAUGGAUUUG